CUCUUUGUAAUAAGGUAAAAAUCAAUAAUGAGCCUAAUAAUGCACUAAAUCACCAACUAACAAUAGAGUAAAAACAGUAUAUAUAUCAUAAUGAGGCAAAAAGUUUGAACAUGGUUGAAUUCAUAGUUCGACUACUGGCAUUCAACUAAAACAUCAAUACGCAUCAACGACACUCAGAAAUUUUUUGAAAAAUCACAAAAAUAACAGUAGCCUUAGAAAACAGAGGAACCAAUUCAAUAACAAUAGAGUAACAGAUGAGGAAUCAAUUCAAUCAAUCGACUACCAAUCUAACAACAACCAGAUAUCACAAACGACUUAGUAAACACAGAAAAAGCUAUAAUUUCACUAAUCCCAAAAGGCCAUAGUUCGAUGACAAAAAUCAAAAUUAAAGAUUGUUACCUGAUAAGCAAAGUUUUUUGCCGAUUAAGACAGGAAAUUGAAGGAAACGAAUGCUUUAUGCAAUAAUUCUUGAAACCUACACGAAAACAAAAGUUGUAGACGAAUGAGAAGGA
rnacentral:lncRNA from 1 species